UAGAGAGAAGCCAAAAAGAGGCAAGUCUUUGUUAAGGAUGUGAGUGGGAGACCCUCUCUAA
rnacentral:tRNA from 1 species